AUUGAACGCUAGCGGGAUGCUUACACAUGCAAGUCGAACGAGUGGCGGACGGGUGAGUAAUAUAUCGGAACGUGCCCAGUAGCGGGGGAUAACUACUCGAAAGAGUGCUAUACCGCAUACUAUUGGAGCGGCCGAUAUCGGAUUAGCUAGUUGGUGGGGUAACGGCUCACCAGGGCAACGAUCCGUAGCUGGUUUGAGAGGACGACCAGCACAACUGUGACAGAGAGACGGCCCAGACUCCGACGGGAGGCAGAAGCGGGAAAGGUUGGACAAUGGGGGAAACCCUGAUCCAGCCAUGCCGCGUGUGUGAAGAAGGUUUCGGAUUGUAAAGCACUUUAAGUGGGGAGGCGUUACCAACAGAAUAAGCACCGGCUAACUACGUGCCAGCAGCCGCGGUAAUAC
rnacentral:rRNA from 1 species